rnacentral:rRNA from 1 species
GGGGUAUUCGUGUGUGGUGGCCUGCGCGGCGCUGUGUUGCGGGCGUGUGGGCGUGGUGUGGUGUUCGUGUGGUGGUUGAGAACUGUAUAGUGGAUGCGAGUAUCUUUAUUGUUGUAUGUGUUUGUGCGACGUGGUGUUGUGCAAAGUUGUGUAGUGCGAUCGGUGGAUGCCUUGGCACCAAGAGCCGAUGAAGGACGUUGUGACCUGCGAUAAGCCCUGGGGAGUUGGUGAGCGAGCUGUGAUCCGGGGGUGUCCGAAUGGGGAAACCUGGAAUGUCCGGAGUAGUGUCCGGUGGCCCUGCCCUGAAUGUAUAGGGGUGUGGGUGGUAACGCGGGGAAGUGAAACAUCUUAGUACCCGUAGGAAGAGAAAACAAGUGUGAUACCGUGAGUACCGGCGAACGAACAACGACACCUCGAUCCUCAAGGAGUUGGUGGAGACCCCGUUCUUGUGAGGCAUUUCGUCGUACACCUUGCGUGCACCAGAAACUUGACCUCUCCUGACAAGGUCCUCGACGAUGAAAUUGGAGCGACACGUAUCUGUGUCGAAACCAGUUUUAAUGAUGCAAGCAUCAACACGUCGUGUGUCAGAAAUGUCGCCGGUGACGGUUGUCGGAGCUGCCGUAAGUGGCAAGAGUUCGUGAGCGGACUUCAUUAGAGUUGCAUAAAGUUUCAUAGCCUGCUUUAUUGUAAUAAGUAUGGCAUUAUAAAAAAGCAUUGCUCAUCAAUUUGUUGCAUCGAACAGGUCACUAUCAGUCAUAAUAAAAUCAUUAUUUGGGGUCUGAGAUCCAUGCUAGCGUUACGCUAGAGUAGGGACUGUCAAGCAUCAAAUAAAACGAAAGGCUCAUCGGAGACUGGCCUUUCGUUUUAUCUGUGUUUG